AAACAUUGAACGACUAUCCAGGUAACCAGAAGCCUUUGCCAUUUCUACAGUUUUGGAAGCUAUUUGUUCUGCACUUCCUGUUUAUUCAGGAAGGAUUUGGGCGGCUACCUCCUACUUGCCCAAAUCCCCAGCUGUCACUCAUAGCUGCUGGUUCUGGCCCUGGAACCUUGGAGACACUGGCAUCAUGGCAAUUAAAUCCAUAAGGGCAACUGCCACAAUAAUAAUAAUGAUGACAGCUAGCACUUACUAAACACUCACUAUGUGCAAGGCGUUCUCUGGGCUUUCCAUGCAAUAAUAGUCCGACUAAUCCUCCCAGCAGCCUCUGAAAUCUAUGUUACUAUUUUUUUCCAAUUAAAAAAAUAAAUAUCUGCAUCCGGGUGUGGUGGCUUGCACCUGUAGUCCUGGCUAUGCUGGAGACCAAAACAGAUGGAUAACCAGAGCUCAGAAACUGGAAACCAGUCUGGAAAAACUAGCAGUGGAGACUCCUCCAACUCCAAACAAGAACAACAAAAAUGGUUUAAGUAUCGAUUUUAUUCAGAGUUAGCUGGUAGUUUCUUUCCUCUUUGUUGAUAGCACAGAACUCUUGUUUCUCUUCAUUCACAUUGUUUUAUCUUCAUUCCAUACCACCUUUAUCAUUGUGUAUCUUUCGCAACUACCCUUAUUAGUGUAUCUCUCGAAGUAUUGUUUUUAUUAGCCUUAACUACUUAUCUUCAUCACUGUGUAUGUUUUCCUACUAUUUUUUUUCUUUAAUUAAGAUGUGGGCUUGGCAUGUAGCUUAGUUGGUAGAAUGUUUGCCUGUCAUCCUGCUGGGAACAAGCAAAAUAAACGUAUUCUUAGGACUACUUACUACUUC
rnacentral:lncRNA from 1 species